UAGAGAAGUCAAAUACUCCUGAACGCGCCCGAUCUCGUCUGAUCUCGGAAGCUAAGCAGGGUUGGGCCUGGUUAGUACUUGGAUGGGAGAAGUCAAAUACUUCAACAU
rnacentral:rRNA from 1 species